GACGAACGCUGGCGGCGUGCUUAACACAUGCAAGUCGAACGGAAAGGCCCUGCUUUUGUGGGGUGCUCGAGUGGCGAACGGGUGAGUAACACGUGAGUAACCUGCCCUUGACUUUGGGAUAACUUCAGGAAACUGGGGCUAAUACCGGAUAGGAGCUCCUGCUGCUUGGUGGGGGUGGGAAAGUUUCGGCGGUUGGGGAUGGACUCGCGGCUUAUCAGCUUGUUGGUGGGGUAGUGGCUUACCAAGGCUUUGACGGGUAGCCGGCCUGAGAGGGUGACCGGCCACAUUGGGACUGAGAUACGGCCCAGACUCCUACGGGAGGCAGCAGUGGGGAAUAUUGCACAAUGGGCGGAAGCCUGAUGCAGCAACGCCGCGUGCGGGAUGACGGCCUUCGGGUUGUAAACCGCUUUCGCCUGUGACGAAGCGUGAGUGACGGUAAUGGGUAAAGAAGCACCGGCUAACUACGUG
rnacentral:rRNA from 1 species